AUUUUUUAUUUAUUUUUUUACAGCAAAGGAGUCAGUUCAAGGGCAUAAAAAAAAGGAAACAAAUAUGAAAAAAAAGCCCGCUACUAACUCCUCCUAAAGUCGUAAUGUUAAAUGGUUGUCUUUUAUUUUUUAUUUUUUAUUUAUUUAUUUUUUUUUUUUACAACAAAGGAGGCAGCUCAAGGGCACACAGAAAAAGAAAACAAUAAUAAAAAAAAAGCCCGCUACUCACUGCUCCUAAAAAAGAAACAAAAGAGGCGUCUUCCUACCCAUUGGCACCCACCUAACACAACACCAAGGCUAUAGGAGAGUAAAAAGAAGGUUGAUAUAAUGAAUGAAGGAAGAGGAAUAAAUGAUAAAUACAAGAAUAAGGGAUGAACGGGAAUGGAAUAAAGAAAAAUAAAUGGAAGACAAGGAAAAUGGGUGAUAGAUUUCGCCCAAAUUUUACGCAGUCGAUUCGUGGGUGUCAGAUACUUUUUUUUACGACUGUGCAUGCGUUUGUGUUGGUGGUGAGCGGAAGUGAUGGAAGUUGGCGAUGGUGCUGGAACAUAAGUCAGGCGUAGUGUUAAGCGGUCAUGCCAUGGGAAAGGGGUGAGGAAGGGGGAUGUGAGGAAGACGAGAAAGAAUUAAGAAAAAGGAGAGGAAGGGAAAGAAAAAAAAGAAAGGAAGAGCUGGAACAUAGUCAGUCGUAAUGUUAAGUGGUCAUGCUGUGGAAAGGGAGAAAGGGAAGGGAUAAGGAAGGGGGAUGUGAGGAAGACGAGAGAGAAAGAAUUAAGAAAGAGGAGAGAGAGGAAGGGGAAGAAAAACAAGAAAGGAUGAGCUGGAACAUAGUCAGUCGUAAUGUUAAGUGGUCAUGCCGUGGAAAGGGAGAAAGGGAAGGGAUAAUAAGGAAGGGGGAUGUGAGGAAGACGAGAGAGAAAGAAUUAAGAAAGAGGAGAGAGAGGAAGGGGAAGAAAAAAAAGAAAGGAAGAGCUGGAACAUAGUCAGUCGUAAUGUUAAGUGGUCAUGCCAUGGAAAGGGAAGGGAUAAGGAAGGGGGAUGUGAGGAAGACGAGAGAGAAAGAAUUAAGAAAGAGAUGAGGAAGGGGAAGAAACUGAAAGAAAGAGCUGCAACACGUCAGUCGUAAUGUUAAGAGACAGGAGAGAUAGAUGACAGAAAAGAUGGAAGGAGAGAGAGACGGCAUGCAUUAAUUAUCCCUUUAGCCUAAGAAUCAGAGGUGGAAUGAGCGAGGAAAUGAAGGAAAGGUAGAUGAUAUAAAAAAGAUAAAAGAUCGAAAGACAGGAAAGGAGAGGCAGUAUGCAUUAAUUCUCCCUUCAGCCUGACAAUCAAAGGUGGAAAGGAAGAGGAAAUGAACAAAAGAGAUAUAACAAAAAAAGACAACAGGCGCGACAAUCUCCGGUUCUUUUACCAUGACAAUCAGAGGUGAGAAAAAUCAACCCCAUAACCUCAUUGCCACUUACAAAACCUCAUCCAUACAAUCUUUUUCCUUCUCGCCCGUUGACGCUUGGGAGAAAAAGUCUUCCGCUCGGUACACCAAGCCUCCCCAUUCCUUCGUUUAUAAAAGUUUGCCAGCGUCUCGAGUACAUUCGUCCGCGGGAGUAUGUUAUGAGGAUGUCCAUGCCGUUGUGUUAUUGUUUUGUGUGCCCUGUGCCAUACCUCAUCACAGACACUUGAUUGGUUUUCUAAAUGCUGUAUUAGUCUUACCCCAUCCGCUGCGAUUGGUACAGAUUCGGCUUUCACUGGUAGCUUGGUAACAUAUGCUCCCAGGAGGUCUUUCUCUGCUUCUGUGGUGGAUAGUGGAGUGUUUUCCGUGUGGUAUUGGUGUGCUGGAUAUCGUCUCCCAAGGUGCAGGACUUUACAUUUUUCCUCAUUGAAUUGUAGCAGCCACUUUUUGUUCCAUUCCUGUAGCUUGGUGAUGUCUUCUUGUGGGAAAUCCGUGGUCAAGGGGUUAACAGAAUGUGGCUGAUUUGUCUUUUUUUACCUGUUUUUUCAAGGCGUGGUUACUUGGCUUUAUUGAUUUUUUAUGUAUCACUUUCUACGACUGACUUUGUGAUGUGUCGAUGUCGUGAAAAGCCAACACUUCCUCUGUCCAAAGAAUGAUAUAAAAAAGCCAUACUAGCCACAUGACUGUUAACCCUUAGACGACGGCAGCAGUAUUUGAAGAGUAGCUUCCCCCAAUAUUAACCGUCUACAUAUAGUUACCGCCGACCUUUGGACCGUAGCAUAAAUAUAGUUACGCCGCAUAAGAGCUGUUUUAACUAUCGUCUAUAUAUAGAUUCUACCGUAAUCUGAAAGUGCUGUUAUAUUUCUGCCAUACAAAACUGACGGACUGAAUUUUGGACCGUUUAUAUAGAGUUCUACCACCGUCUGAGGGUUAAUAAGAACUGAUAUAGCAUUAAAGAAAUCUGCCUGGCGUUGGUACAGUCUGUUGGUGGUAAAGAGGUGGUGCCAGAAGCUAGUCACUGUUGGCAAUGAUCCUGAAGGUGUUGAGUGCGAACCUGAAGCUACGUCUCAUAAGUCAGGGGAGAGAAAGAAAACACACAUUGACCUCUUGAUGAAAUGGGAAUGAGUUUAUAUUCUCUUCACGUGGAGAGAGAGAGAGAUUUUUAGUGUAAGUUAGGUGGAGUGAUCAUUACUCAUCAUUCCGUGGGUGUUUACUCAUGUCAAAGGAAAAAGUGUUCUGGAAAGUUUAACGGAGGCAUAAAACUUAAAAACUGUCAACAUAAAACUUUAAAAACUGUCAACAUGAAACUUCAAAAACUGUCAACAUGAAACUUUAAAAACUGUCAACAUAAAACUUAAAAACUGUCAACAUGAAACUUUAAAAACUGUCAACAUGAAACUUUAAAAACUGUCAACAUGAAACUUUAAAAACUGUCAACAUGAAACUUUAAAAACUGUCAACAGAAAACUUAAAAACUGUCAACAUGAAAACUGAAAAAUUGCCAACAUCAAGAUUACCCAACUUUAUUUUGACUCUGAAUUUUGUACCUCUGCCUAUUUUUCCAGAGUACUUUUUUCCCUGCUUGUUGAGUGGUAAUUUGGGGAGUAGCAUUUUAUACACUGCUGCAUAGACAUAACACAUACACAACACACCACACCACAACACAACACAACACAACACAAUGAAACUCACCGCGCAGCACCGCACCACACCACACCACACCGCACUAUACUACACAACACAACACACUGCAGCAAAGAGUGUACACAAAUCAAAACAAAGACUAGACAAAGAUCGAGUUGGAGACGAACACACAAGGAUAACUCAGGCUGUGUACGCUACAUCUAGGCAAGUACACACACACACACACACACACACACACGUACACCUGCUUACACGCACAGUCUACACUUACGAGCACCUGUUCAUACUCAUUUCUACACCUGUGCACCUUGAUUGAGCCGUGCACAAUGAAGUUGAGGUCUGUGCGCCAAUCCGUACUCACGAUUCCAUUUUGUGCUCAUCAGGAAAACAAGUGUGCUGAGAAGGUUCAGUGAAGGUGUUGAUUUAAUUUUACUGAAAUCAAGCAUCAGAAUUGUGGGAACUAUUGUAAUUCUUCUUCUCUUUUCUGUUUAACGUCCUUAUCUUCCCUUAUGGAGUUGGACUGGGUUGGGAACUGUUAGUAGAAUUGUGGGAACUAUUGUAAUUCUUCUCCUCUUUUCUGUUUAACGUCCUUAUCUUCCCUUAUGGAGUUGGAAUGGGUUGGGAAUUGUUAGUAGAAUUGUGGGAACUAUCUUUUGAAAUUGUGGGAACUGAAUUGUCGGAACCUGGAAUGGUGGGAACUAGAUUGUUAACACUUCUAGAAUGGUGUAAACUUAAUUGUCAGUACUCAGAAUGGUGGGAAUUGUGGGAACUGUCAGAGCUUGGAAUGGUAGGGCCAAAUUUUUCCGAGCACCAUUUUUACUUUAUUUUAUUUAUUUAUUUCCCCUUCACAUCGAGUACUGAUCCGGAAUCGUGUGUGUGAACCGGCAAAUGCUUCCUCAGCCUCACACACUCAAGAGUUUAUUUUCGCGCCAGUUUGUAAUCUCCGCGUCCGUGCACAACAGUAUUUCCCGAGCAUGUCUCCUGCAAUGUUAUUUUUAAUCCAUUCCUCUCUAUAUAUCACGUAUCGUUAAGCACGUCAUUGUUAAGUAUACGUAUAUGACUGUAAAUAAUUAGGUUUUAAGUGGUUUGUAAAGGGUUGGAUUCUGCAGCUCAAGCCUGGAACGUCAUCAACUGGAGAAGAGACAAAUGGAAACUGAGGGAAACUGUCGCUCUUUUUUUUCUUUUCUUUUUUUCCAACAAGGAGUUAUGAGGUUGG